GGCACCGUGGUGUAGUUGGCCAUCACGUCGGCAUACAUAGCCUGAUGGUCGAAGGUUCGAAUCUAGCCGGUACCA
rnacentral:tRNA from 1 species